UACGUAGGGGGCAAGCGUUGUCCGGAAUCAUUGGGCGUAAAGAGCGUGUAGGCGGCCCGGUAAGUCCGCUGUGAAAGUCCAGGGCUCAACCCUGGGAUGCCGGUGGAUACUGUCGGGCUCGAGUCCGGAAGAGGAGUGUGGAAUUCCUGGUGUAGCGGUGAAAUGCGUAGAUAUCGGAAGAACAUCAGUGGCGAAAGCGACUUCCUGGACCAGUACCGACGUUCAGGCACGAAGCGUGGGAGCAAACAGG
rnacentral:rRNA from 1 species